GGACCAUCAUGUCGGUCGUGCCUCGGUACGUACUGGUAUUGUUGGUUUCUCCCUUCUGACGAACCAUGAUGCCAUUAAUUUGGUGUUGCGGGGAAUCUGGGCUGUUACUUUGAAAAAAUUAGAGUGUUUAAAGCAGGCUUUCGCUUGAAUACAUUAGCAUGGAAUAAUGAAAUAGGACGUUUGAUUCUAUUUUGUUGGUUUCUAGGAUCGACGUA
rnacentral:rRNA from 1 species